UCUAAUAAAAGCGCACUCCUUCUGCUCUGAGAUCAAAAGUCAAUGGCGUUAGGAGGAAAUGGAGGCUGGGGAAGGCUCGUUGGCUUGGAGCUGGUACAUGGGAAGUUGCUGGUCUGAGUGAUGGCUGAAUUGUGUAGGGUGUUUAACACCACGGUAAGGACAUCAUAUAUAGCUCCAUGUCUGUUUCUUGAACCAGCCUCAGUUGGGGAGGAGGAGGCAAGGCCAUGCUGAUAGAUAACCCAUCCAGCCCUUGCUUCAGCCUGUAAGCCCCAUCCUUCCUGGCAGAAUCAGGAGUAGCAGAGCCUCUUCCAGACACUUGGCCACCCCAAAAUAGCUGGGCUCGGUGUGGGAAGAGACAAAGGAAACCCUCUCCCGGUGCUGAGCCGGAGCAUAUGUGCUUCUCGGUAGCAAGUGUGAAGACUGACUAAACUUAGCGAGUGUGCCUCCCAAGUCUUCA
rnacentral:lncRNA from 1 species